AACGAACGCUGGCGGCAGGCUUAACACAUGCAAGUCGAACGCCCCGCAAGGGGAGUGGCAGACGGGUGAGUAACGCGUGGGAAUCUACCCAUCCCUAGGGGAUAACACAGAGAAAUUUGUGCUAAUACCCUAUACGUCCUCCGGGAGAAAGAUUUAUCGGGGAUGGAUGAGCCCGCGUUGGAUUAGCUAGUUGGUGGGGUAAUGGCCUACCAAGGCGACGAUCCAUAGCUGGUCUGAGAGGAUGACCAGCCUCACUGGGACUGAGACACGGCCCAGACUCCUACGGGAGGCAGCAGUGGGGAAUAUUGGACAAUGGGCGCAAGCCUGAUCCAGCCAUGCCGCGUGAGUGAUGACGGCCUUAGGGUUGUAAAGCUCUUUCACCCACGACGAUAAUGACGGUAGUGGGAGAAGAAGCCCCGGCUAACUUCGUGCCAGCCGCCGCGGUAA
rnacentral:rRNA from 1 species